CCCGUUGGAGGCGGGGGUUGCCCUCACGGCCGCGCCGCCUCCGUGAGGGGCGAGUCGGGCCCGUGUCACCCGCCCCGGGCUGCGUCACCCGCCCCGGGCUGUCGUGUGGGCGGAACGCCAUCGUGUCACCCGCCCGGAGUGAACUCCUGCGCCGAGAGCUGCCCCGCGUUCCGCCCGCACGGCCUGGGAGGCGCCGCUCCGUCCCUACAUGGCGGGUGCUGCCCCUUCAUAGCCCGCCCCGGCUGUCAGCGCUGCCGCGGGCACGGACGGGCCGUGGAGGUCACGGGUGAAGAGCUGCUGGUGUGGUGCAGAAUUACCUGUGCUUAAGGUGUAGGCUCAGAGUUAUCAUUCCCCAAUGCCCAGCAGACUCCGGUGCCUCGACCUGCCAGCGAGGUGUGAGCUGUUCCUCCAGAGCAGCUCCUUCCUGCCCCUAGCAGAGCCCAGGGCUCGCAGCCAAGGCUCUGCAUCGAGCCCUCACAGCACAUCAAACCCCACCACACGCCUUCUUUUCAUCUUGCUUAGUUCACUACACGAUAGCUAAAACAUACGAGUACUUUUUUUGUUUGAUCUCUUUUUUGUUCCAGAAAAUACUGUAUUUGUUUCACAGGAAGAGGUUAGCCUUAUUUGAUCAGAACUUAUGGAUGCCUGAGCCAGGAUCCUGUCUGCUGUAGCACACUGCCUCAGACACUCAGAGAAAAGUCUCAGUACCUUACACUAAGGAGAUGUGUUUAUUCUGUCCCUUUCCUGUUACAGCGGAAGAACUUAAAUUUUCCCUCCGCCAGCCUUUUUUGCUAAUUUAUACCAUUAUUUUUUUCUUAGCUGAUUCAAUUUUAUGACCACUUCCAUAUUGCCUGUUGUUGCAGAAGUGUACAGGAUGGCAUUAAAUACAUCAGUAUUUAGGUCAGCCUAAGAGUGGACUAAACAACUUGAAUAAUAACUGCUACAGACAGCAUCUGCUGUUUUUUGUCUGUUCUUCAAGAUACAUUAAUUGUCUGUUACUGAUUCUACUUUACCUCACAGAGGUUAAAAUUGUGGUGAUGACAUGAUGGUAUUUACAUAACUAUUUCCUCUCCUAGUGUUCUACAGAACUGAUAAAGACUUGAGAGUGAACUUGGA